AAAACUUUCAACAACGGAUCUCUUGGCUCUGGCAUCGAUGAAGAACGCAGCGAAAUGCGAUAAGUAAUGUGAAUGCAGAAUCCAGUGAAUCAUCGAAUCUUUGAACGCACAUYGCGCCCGCCAGCAUUCUGGCGGGCUGCCUGUUCGAGCGUCAUUUC
rnacentral:rRNA from 1 species